rnacentral:rRNA from 1 species
ARCUUAGUUGGSGGGGGUAAAGGCCCCACCAAGGSGGACGAUCCGUAGCUGKUCUGAGAGGAUGAUCAGCCACACUGGAAYUGAGACACGGUCCAGACUCCUACGGGAGGCAGCAGUGGGGAAUAUUGGACAAUGGGCGCAAGCCUGAUCCAGCCAUACCGCGUGGGUGAAGAAGGCCUUCGGGUUGUAAAGCCCUUUUGUUGGGAAAGAAAAGCAGUCGAUUAAUACUCGGUUGUUCUGACGGUACCCAAAGAAUAAGCACCGGCUAACUUCGUGCCAGCAGCCGCGGUAAUACGAAGGGUGCAAGCGUUACUCGGAAUUACUGGGCGUAAAGCGUGCGUAGGUGGUUGUUUAAGUCUGUUGUGAAAGCCCUGGGCUCAACCUGGGAAUUGCAGUGGAUACUGGGCGACUAGAGUGUGGUAGAGGGUAGUGGAAUUCCCGGUGUAGCAGUGAAAUGCGUAGAGAUCGGGAGGAACAUCCAUGGCGAAGGCAGCUACCUGGACCAACACUGACACUGAGGCACGAAAGCGUGGGGAGCAAACAGGAUUAGAUACCCUGGUAGUCCACGCCCUAAACGAUGCGAACUGGAUGUUGGGUGCAAUUUGGCACGCAGUAUCGAAGCUAACGCGUUAAGUUCGCCGCCUGGGGGAGUACGGUCGCAAGACUGAAACUCAAAGGAAUUGACGGGGGCCCGCACAAGCGGUGGAAGUAUGKGGGUUUAAUUCGAUGCAACGCGAAGAACCUUACCUGGUCUUGACAUGUCGAGAACUUUCCAGAGAAUGGAUUGGUGGCCUUCGGGAACUCGAACACAGGUGCUGCAUGGCUGUCGUCAGCUCSUGUCSUGARAWGUUUGGGGUUAARUCCCSCMACSAAGCGCCAACCCUUGUCCUUAAGUUGCCASCMCGUAAUGGUGGGGGAAMUCUUAAGGAGAACCGCCGGUGAMAAMCCGRRGGAGAGGKGGGGRKGGAMGUCCAAKUCWUCWUUGGSCCUCUAYRACMAG